rnacentral:rRNA from 1 species
CCUACGGGAGGCAGCAGUAGGGAAUCUUUCACAAUGGGCGAAAGCCUGAUGGAGCAACGCCGCGUGCAGGAUGAAGGCCUUCGGGUUGUAAACUGCUUUUGUCAGGGAGCAAUUGAGUCCACGUGUGGUCUUAGCGAGAGUACCUGAAGAAAAAGCAUCGGCUAACUCCGUGCCAGCAGCCGCGGUAAUACGGAGGAUGCGAGCGUUAUCCGGAUUUAUUGGGUUUAAAGGGUGCGUAGGUGGUUAAUUAAGUCAGCGGUGAAAGUUUGUGGCUCAACCAUAAAAUUGCCGUUGAAACUGGUUGACUUGAGUAUAUUUGAGGUAGGCGGAAUGCGUGGUGUAGCGGUGAAAUGCAUAGAUAUCACGCAGAACUCCGAUUGCGAAGGCAGCUUACUAAACUAUAACUGACACUGAAGCACGAAAGCGUGGGGAUCAAACAGGAUUAGAUACCCCAGUAGUC